rnacentral:rRNA from 1 species
GAUGAACGCUGGCGGCGUGCCUAAUACAUGCAAGUCGAGCGAACAGACGAGGAGCUUGCUCCUCUGACGUUAGCGGCGGACGGGUGAGUAACACGUGGAUAACCUACCUAUAAGACUGGGAUAACUUCGGGAAACCGGAGCUAAUACCGGAUAAUAUAUUGAACCGCAUGGUUCAAUAGUGAAAGACGGUUUUGCUGUCACUUAUAGAUGGAUCCGCGCCGCAUUAGCUAGUUGGUAAGGUAACGGCUUACCAAGGCGACGAUGCGUAGCCGACCUGAGAGGGUGAUCGGCCACACUGGAACUGAGACACGGUCCAGACUCCUACGGGAGGCAGCAGUAGGGAAUCUUCCGCAAUGGGCGAAAGCCUGACGGAGCAACGCCGCGUGAGUGAUGAAAGUCUUCGGAUCGUAAAACUCUGUUAUUAGGGAAGAACAAAUGUGUAAGUAACUAUGCACGUCUUGACGGUACCUAAUCAGAAUGCCACGGCUAACUACGUG